rnacentral:lncRNA from 1 species
GUAUUUUUAGUAGAGACAGGGUUUCACCAUAUUGGCCAGGCUGGUCUGGAACUCCUGACCUUGUCGUUGUGAUCCGCCUGCCUUGGCCUCCCAAAGUGCUAGGAUUACAGGCAUGAGUGGGAGCCACCGUACUGGCUUUUUUUUUUUUUUUUUUUUUUUUUGAGACAGUCUUGCUCUCUCGCCCAGGCUGGAGUGCAAUGGCGCGAUCUCAGCUCACUGCAACCUCCGCCUCCCGGGUUCAAGUGAUUCUCCUGCCUCAGCCUCCUGAGUAGCUGGGAUUACACGCACCCAACAUCAUGCCCAGCUAAUUUUUGUAUUUUUAUAGAGAGGGGUUUCACCAUGUUGGCCACCAGGCUGGUCUUGAACUCCUGACCUCAGGUGAUCUGCCCACCUCAGUAUCCCAAAGUGCUGGGAUUACAGGUGUGAGCCACUGUGCCCAGCCUGUGCAUCUUUUUUUAAAGAAGUGUCUAUUCACAUCCUUUGCCAAGUUAUAAUUAGGGAGUGUGUGUGUGUGUUUAACAUGCUUCUCAGGAAAGUAUUCUUUGUGGGUUGUUUUUAUUGUUGAAGUGUAAGAGUUCUUUUCUCUUACUUUUCUUUCUUUUUUUUUUUUUUUUUAGAGUGAGUCUUGCUCUGUCACCCAGGCUGGAGUGCAGUGGCAUGAUCUCAGCUCACUGCAUCCUCUGCCUCCUGGGUUCAAGCAGUUCUCCCUGUCUCAGCCUCCAGAGUAGCCGGGAUUACAGAUGACCACAACUGUGCCCGGCUAAUUUUUUUCUAUUUUUAGUAGAGACGGGGAUUCACCAUAUUGGCCAGGCUGGUCUCGAACUCCUGACCUCAGGUGAUCCGCCUGCCUCGGCCUUCCAAAAUGCUGGGAUUACAGGCAUGAGCCACCUUUUCUAUUCUUUCUUUUCUUUUAUUUUCAGACGGUCUCGCUGUGUCCCCCAAGCUAGAGUGCAAUGGUGCAAUCUCGGCUCACUGCAACCUCUGCCUCUCAGGCUCAAGAGAUUCUUAUGCCUCAGCCUCCCAAGUAGCUGGGAUUACAGGCAAUGCACAACCACGCCUGGCUAAUUUUUGUAUUUUUAGUAGAGACAGGGUUUUGCAAUGUUGGCCAGGCUGAUCUUGAACUUCUGACCUCAGAUGAUCCGCCCACCUCAGCCUCCCAAAGUACUGUGAUUACAGGCGUGAGCCCCUGCCCCUGGCCUCAGAGUUCUUUAUGUAUAUAUAUGUGUGUGUGUGUGUAGUUUUUGGUUUUUGAUUUUUGAGACAGGAUCUAACUGUGUCUCCCAGGCUGGAGUGUAGUUGUGCAAACACAGCUCACUGCAGUGUUGAUCUGGGCUCAAACAAUCCCCCCUUGUAGCCAGGACUACAGGCGCACACAGCACCAUGUCCAGCUAGUUUUUUGUUUGGGCGGGGUUUUUGAGGCAGAAUCUCAACUCCGUCCCCCAGGCUGGAGUGCAGUGGUGCAAUCUUCAUUCAUUGCAAACUCCGCCUCCCGGGUUCAAGAGAUUCUUAUGCCUCAGUCUUCCGAGCAGUUGGGAUUACAGGCGUGCGCCACCGUGCCCAGAUAAUUUUUUUUGAGACCAAGUCUUGCUCUGUCACCAGGCUGGAGUGUAGUAGCGGGAUCUCAGCUUACUGCAACCUCCGCCUCCCAGGUUCAAGUGAUUCUCCUGUUUCAGCCUUCCAAGUAGCUGGGAUUACAGGCGCCUGCCACCAUGCCCGGCUAAUUUUUGUAUUUUUAGUAGAGACCAGGGUUUCACCAUGUUGGCCAGGCUGGUCUUGAACUCCUGACCUUAGGUAAUCUGCCCACCUCCCAAAGUGCUGGGAUUACAGCCUUGAGCUACCGAGCCUUUUUUUGGAGAUGGAGUCUCCCCCGUGUCACCCAGGCUGGAGUGCAGUGGUGCGAUCUCAGCUCACUGUAACCUCCGCCUCCUGGGUUCAAGCAAUUAUCCUGCCUCAGCCUCCCGAGUAGCUGGGAUUACAGGUGUCUGCCACCACACCCAGCUAAUUUUUGUAUUUUUUAGUAGAGAUGGGGUUUCGCCAUGUUGACCAGGCUGGUCUUGAACCCCUGACUUCAGGUGAUCCGCCCACCUCGGCCUCCCAAAGUGCUGGGAUACAGGCAUGAGCCACCAACCCUGGCCUAAUUUUUGUAUUUUUAGUAGAGACGGGGUUUCACCAUGUUGGCCAGGCUGAUCUCAAACUCCUGGCCUCAAGUGAUCUGCCCUCCUUAGCCUCCCAAAGUGCUGGGGAUUAGUGGCAUGAGCCACCACACCAAGCCUGAGUUCUUUAUAUAGUUUCCAUAUUAGAUACUUAUAAUAUCCGUAAUCCCUUCAUUCUGUGUGUGUGUGUUUUGUUUUGUUUUGUUUUUGAGAUAAGAGUCCGGCUCUGUCACCCAGCCUGGAGUUCAGUGGCAUGAACACUGCUCACUGCAGCUUCAGUCUCUGAGCUCAGGUGAUACUCCCACUUCAGCCUCCUGAAUAGCUGGGAUUACAGACAUGUGUCAUGACGCCCAGCUAAUUUUUAGAUUUUUUGUAGAGACGGAGUCUUAACCAUGUCGCCUAGGCUGGUCUUGAACUCAAACAAUCCUCCUGCCUCAGCCUCCUUAAGCGCUGGGAUUACAGGAGUAGCCACUGCGCCCGGCCCUUCUUCACUUUCUUAAUACUGUCCUUUGACAAACCAAGUUUUUAAUUGUGAUGCAGUCCUGUUUACUUAUUUUUGGUUACUUGUGCUUUUAGUGUUAUAUCUAAGAAACCAUUGCCUAGUCCACAGUCAUGAAGAUUUACACCCAUGUUCUCCAAGAGUUUUAAAUAGUUUUAGCUCUUCACUUUAGGUCUUUGAUCUAUUUUGAGUUAAUUUUUGUAUAGUGUGUGAGGUAGGAGUCCAAGCAUUUCCUUUUAAAAACUUUUCUAGCCCUCUUCCUGGGCUAGAACUUCUAGUUUCUGAGACGGCAUUCCUCCAGCCCCUUUGCAAUCCCCUCCUCUUCAGUUUUUCCUCAUGAUGUCAUCAAGCGACUCACAUUUGCAUCCCUCCCAAUCUCUCUUGAGGUCAGUAUUUCCAUCAUCCUCCUGUGUAGUCCCAUCCAGAUGUACCACAGGCACCCCAAACUCAACAUGACCAAAAUUCAACUCUCCUUGCUCUUCACAAACCACCUCCUCUAGUUCCCCUCAAUCUUUUACAAGUAUUACAGGAAAGAGGUCUUGAUCCAGACCCCAAGAGAGGGUUCUUGGAUCUCGAGCAAGAAAGAAUUCAAGGCGAAUCCACAGUGCAAAGCAAAAGCAAGUUUAUUAAGAAAGUAAAGGAGGCUGGGUGCAGUGACUCACACCUGUAAUCCCAACACUUUGGGAGGUCAAGGUGGGUGGAUCACCUGAGAUCAGGAGUUCAAGACUGGCCUGACCAGUAUGGUGAAACCCCAUUUCUACUAAAAAAUACUAAAAUUAGCUAGGCGUGGUGGUGGGUGCCUGUAGUCCCAGCUACUGUGGGGCUGAGACAGGAGAAUUGCUUGAACCCAGGUGGCAGAGAUUGCAGUGAGCCGAGAUCGGUCCACUGCACUCCAGCCCGGGCAACAGAGCGAGACUGUCUCGAAAAAAUAAACAUUAAAAAUAAAAGAAAGGAAUAAAAGAAUGGCUACUCCAUAGACAAAGCAGCCCUAAGGUCUGCUGGUUGCCCAUUUUUUUGGUUAUUUUUUUGAUGAUAUGCUAAACAAGGGGUGGGUUAUUCAUGCCUCCCCUUUUGAGACCUCAUAGGGUAACUUCCUGACAUUGCCAUGGCAUUUGUAAACUGUCGUGACACUGGUGGUGAGGAUGACCAGAGGUCACUCUCGUUGCCAUCUUGGUUUGGGUGGGAUUUAGCCAGCUUCUUUACUGCAACCUGUUUUAUCAGCAAGGUCUUCAUGACCUGUAUCUUAUGCUGUCCUCCUAUCUCAUUCUGUGACUUAGAAUGCCUUAACCAUCUGGGAAUGAAGUCCAGCAGGUCUCAGCCUCAUUUUCCCUAGUUCCUAUUUAAGAUGCAGUUGCUCUGGUUCACAUGCCCGUAACAAAAGCACCACCACCCAUUCCACCCCUCAAGCUAGAAACCUGAAAGUUAUCCCAGAUUCAUCUCUCACUCCCCAUCAUCGCAUAUUUUCAGUGAGUGUGUUAAGUCAUGGUGACUUGACUUUGAAAAAAAUGUCUAUUUUUGGUCAUGGAAAAAUUUCAAAUAUGUGCAAAAGUAGGAUAAUACAAUGAGUCCCAUACUCCCACCACACAACUUCAACACUUAGUAACUUGUCGCAGUUCUUGUUUAUACCACUGUCCACAUUAAUUUCUUAAUAUUAUGAAAUACCCAAAUUUUAAAAUUUCUAACUGUCCAAGUAUCUUCUUUUAAAAAUGCACUCAUUUGCCGGGCGCAGUGGCUCACGCCUAUAAUCCCACCACUUUGGGAGGCCGAGGCGGGUGGAUCAC